CACCCACCUACAAACAACAGUACAUGCAAACAUUACACAACUAUAAACAAUCAACUAUCUGUCAAGUGAGACUAUGUACAUGGAUAUCUCUGUGGCAACCGAGGAAAACCCAUUAGAUAUCGCUGUGUGGAAUUCUGGCUAACAAAGUCAUCCCUUCCACUAAAGGCCGGUCCAGUUGCACCUAUAUCAAGAGAAUAAGUGAGAAUGCCAUUCUGAACGAUGGUAGCAACUUUAUUCACCAAAAUCUCAACUCUCUUCAUCAAGCCAUUUGGAUCACGCUGCACGGAGAUAAAACAGUCGACUCCCGCAUGAGAGAAGUGUGUCAUUAUUACAGG